UGGGGAGCUAUACAUGCAGUCGACGCACAGCGAAAGGUGCUUGCACCUUUCAAGUGAGUGGCGAACGGGUGAGUAACACGUGGACAACCUGCCUCAAGGCUGGGGAUAACAUUUGGAAACAGAUGCUAAUACCGAAUAAAACUCAGUGUCGCAUGACACAAAGUUAAAAGGCGCUUUGGCGUCACCUAGAGAUGGAUCCGCGGUGCAUUAGUUAGUUGGUGGGGUAAAGGCCUACCAAGACAAUGAUGCAUAGCCGAGUUGAGAGACUGAUCGGCCACAUUGGGACUGAGACACGGCCCAAACUCCUACGGGAGGCUGCAGUAGGGAAUCUUCCACAAUGGGCGAAAGCCUGAUGGAGCAACGCCGCGUGUGUGAUGAAGGCUUUCGGGUCGUAAAGCACUGUUGUAUGGGAAGAACAGCUAGAAUAGGGAAUGAUUUUAGUUUGACGGUACCAUACCAGAAAGGGACGGCUAAAUACGUGCCAGCAGCCGCGGUAAUACGUAUGUCCCGAGCGUUAUCCGGAUUUAUUGGGCGUAAAGCGAGCGCAGACGGUUGAUUAAGUCUGAUGUGAAAGCCCGGAGCUCAACUCCGGAAUGGCAUUGGAAACUGGUUAACUUGAGUGCAGUAGAGGUAAGUGGAACUCCAUGUGUAGCGGUGGAAUGCGUAGAUAUAUGGAAGAACACCAGUGGCGAAAGGCGGCUUACUGGGACUGUAACUGACGUUGAGGCUCGAAAGUGUGGGUAGCAAACAGGAUUAGAUACCCUGGGUAGUCCACACCGUAAACGAUGGAACACUAGGUGUUAGGAGGUUUCCGCCUCUUAGUGCCGAAGCCUAACGCAUUUAAGUGUUUCCGGCCUUGGGGGAGUACGACCCGCAAGGCUGAAAACUUCAAAGAAAUUGAACGGGGACUCCGGCCACAGCCGUUGGGAGCCAAUGUGGAUUCAAUUUCGAGCCAUGGCGGAAGAACCCUUUACAGGUCUUGACCUCUUGAAGCUCUUGAAGCAUAGAAGGGGAUGCUCUUCG
rnacentral:rRNA from 1 species